rnacentral:rRNA from 1 species
CGGGAGGCAGCAGUGGGGAAUUUUCCGCAAUGGGCGAAAGCCUGACGGAGCAAUACCGCGUGAGGGAAGACUGCCUAUGGGUUGUAAACCUCUUUUUUCAGGGAGGAAUCAAUGACGUGUACCUGAAGAAUAAGCAUCGGCUAACUCCGUGCCAGCAGCCGCGGUAAGACGGAGGAUGCAAGUGUUAUCCGGAAUCACUGGGCGUAAAGCGUCUGUAGGUGGUUUAAUAAGUCAACUGUUAAAUCUUGAGGCUCAACUUCAAAAUCGCAGUCGAAACUAUUAGACUAGAGUAUAGUAGGGGUAAAGGGAAUUUCCAGUGGAGCGGUGAAAUGCGUAGAGAUUGGAAAGAACACCGAUGGCGAAGGCACUUUACUGGGCUAUUACUGACACUCAGAGACGAAAGCUAGGGUAGCAAAUGGGAUUAGAUACCCCAGUAGUCCUAGCUGUAAACAAUGGAUACUAGAUGUUGAACAGAUCGACCUGUGCAGUAUCAAAGCUAACGCGUUAAGUAUCCCGCCUGGGAAGUAUGCUCGCAAGAGUGAAACUCAAAUGAAUUG